UACCAGCACCCCGAGUGGUCGGGACGUUUAUUGGGCCUAAAGCAUCCGUAGCCGGUUCUACAAGUCUUCCGUUAAAUCCACCUGCUCAACAGAUGGGCUGCGGAAGAUACUAUGGAGCUAGGAGGCGGGAGAGGCAAGCGGUACUCGAUGGGUAGGGGUAAAAUCCGUUGAUCCAUUGAAGACCACCAGUGGCGAAGGCGGCUUGCCAGAACGCGAUCGACGGUGAGGGAUGAAAGCUGGGGGAGCAAACCGG
rnacentral:rRNA from 1 species